CUUUUCCAGAGAGAAUCCUGUGCACCAUUUUUGCUAGCUGUGUGUCUGUGCAGAGUGAGGCUUGCAGUGUGACGUUAUUCUGUGGUGUUACACAGAGGGUGGCAUAGCUGUCUCUAGCUGACAUCACAGUGCUCACGCUAAGCAGAGUGCCCAUCUCCCAGUGCUCCGGGCACACCCUGAUUCCACCUCUGCUCUGCUUGCUGAGUAGGAAUCUGCUCUGCCCGCUGCUGGAAGCAGUGAGCCAGUAACUUGUGCAGUUUGGUUUGUCUGUCCUGUGACCCACUACAGACAACCCAG
rnacentral:lncRNA from 12 species